ACCCGUUUGGCUCAGUGGAUAGAGCGUCAGCCUUCGGGCUGAAGGGUCCCAGGUUCAAUUCCUGUCAGGGGCA
rnacentral:tRNA from 1 species